rnacentral:rRNA from 1 species
AGUGAACGCUGGCGGUAGGCCUAACACAUGCAAGUCGAACGGCAGCACAGUAAGAGCUUGCUCUUACGGGUGGCGAGUGGCGGACGGGUGAGGAAUACAUCGGAAUCUACUUUUUCGUGGGGGAUAACGUAGGGAAACUUACGCUAAUACCGCAUACGACCUACGGGUGAAAGCAGGGGAUCUUCGGACCUUGCGCGAUUGAAUGAGCCGAUGUCGGAUUAGCUAGUUGGCGGGGUAAAGGCCCACCAAGGCGACGAUCCGUAGCUGGUCUGAGAGGAUGAUCAGCCAAAUGGGAAAUGGGACACGGCCCAGACCCCUAGGGGGGGCAGCAGGGGGGAAUAUUGGAAAAUGGGCGAAAGCCUGACCCACCCAUCCCGGGGGGGUAAAGAAGGCCUUCGGGUUGUAAAGCCCUUUUGUUGGGAAAAAAAAGCAGCAGGUUAAUACCCCGCUGUUCUGACGGUACCAAAAAAAAAAGCACCGGCUAACUGCGG